rnacentral:rRNA from 1 species
CCUACGGGUGGCAGCAGUGGGGAAUAUUGGACAAUGGGGGGAACCCUGAUCCAGCCAUGCCGCGUGUGUGAAGAAGGCCCUCGGGUUGUAAAGCACUUUCAGUGAGGAAGAACGCCUGGUGGUUAAUACCCAUCAGGAAAGACAUCACUCACAGAAGAAGCACCGGCUAACUCCGUGCCAGCAGCCGCGGUAAUACGGAGGGUGCGAGCGUUAAUCGGAAUUACUGGGCGUAAAGCGCGCGUAGGUGGCUUGAUAAGCCGGUUGUGAAAGCCCCGGGCUCAACCUGGGAACGGCAUCCGGAACUGUCAAGCUAGAGUGCAGGAGAGGAAGGUAGAAUUCCCGGUGUAGCGGUGAAAUGCAUAGAGAUCGGGAGGAAUACCAGUGGCGAAGGCGGCCUUCUGGACUGACACUGACACUGAGGUGCGAAAGCGUGGGUAGCAAACAGGAUUAGAUACCCCAGUAGUC